UGGUACCCAAAAACAUGGCUUCGUGUCAUUACUAAAAUACGAAGUCGGACCUGCCCAGUGAAUUUUAAACGGCCGCGGUACUCUGACCGUGCAAAGGUAGCAUAAUCAUUUGCCUUAUAAUUGAAGGCUGGAAUGAAUGGUUUGACAAGAAUACACCUGUCUCUUUUAGAUUGAUUAGAAUUUUAUUUUUGGAUGAAAAAGUCCAGAUAUGAUUAAAAGACAAGAAGACCCUAUCGAGCUUUAGAGGAAUUAAUAGAGUUAUCUUACCUUAAUAUUAAUAAAAGAAAAGCUAUUAAAAUACUUUGGUUGGGGCAACCAAGGAGUAAAUAAAGCCUCCUUUAGAAUAGUAAAUCUUACUUGUAUUGAUCCAAAAUUUUUGAUCAAAGGAAUUAGUUACCGUAGGGAUAACAGCAUUAUCUUUUUCAAGAGCCCAUAUCGAAAAAAAGGUUUGUGACCUCGAUGUUGGACCAGAAUAUCCUAAAGAUGCAGAAGUCUUUAAGGGUUGGUCUGUUCGACCAUUAAAAUCUAAA
rnacentral:rRNA from 1 species